rnacentral:rRNA from 1 species
AGAAUCAACGCUGGCGGCGUGCCUAACACAUGCAAGUCGAACGAGAAAGGGUAGCAAUACCUGAGUAAGGUGCGGCAACGGGUGAGUAACACGUGACUAACCUACCCUGGAGUGGGGGAUAACUGAGGGAAACCUUAGCUAAUACCGCAUAACACCUACGGGUCAAAGGAGCAAUUCGCUUCAGGAGGGGGUCGCGGCCGAUUAGUUAGUUGGCGGGGUAAUGGCCCACCAAGACAGUGAUCGGUAU